CCUUACGCGUAGGGCUACACACGUGCUACAAUGGCAUCUACAGUGGGUUAAUCCCCAAAAGAUGUCUCAGUUCGGAUUGGGGUCUGCAACUCGACCCCAUGAAGUCGGAAUCGCUAGUAAUCGCGUAACAGCAUGACGCGGUGAAUACGUUCCCGGGCCUUGUACACACCGCCCGUCACACCAUGGAAGCUGGUUAUACCCGAAGUCGUUACUCUAACCUUUUUUGGAGGGGGAUGCCUAAGGUAGAAUUAGUGACUGGGGUGAAGUCG
rnacentral:rRNA from 1 species